ACCAGCUUAGUCAUUUGAUUCUGACACCUGCCUGCACACCAGGCAGUAUCUGAUCCAGAGAAAUUGAUGGAAACCUUUGAAAGCUUCCUGUUGACUUCAAAAACCAUAAUUGGGCUUGAAAAAUAGAUUUGAGUUCCACUUAAUUGUAUCCUCUCUUCAUUCCAUAUUCAAUGAACCUGGAUUACUCUCUGUCUACAUUUUGAAAGGAGCACACAGAUGGAAACAACAUGAUCUCUACAGAAAACUAUCCCGU
rnacentral:lncRNA from 1 species